CGGGGAGUGGCGCAGCGGCAGCGCACCUGGUUUGGGACCAGGGGGUCGGGGGUUCAAAUCCCCCCUCCCCGACCA
rnacentral:tRNA from 3 species